GAUGAUGCGUCGUGAAUGGU
rnacentral:tRNA from 1 species